UGCUCUUCCAAUCUACCUAGUUGAGGCCCCAAAGCAUUAUACCUAGAAAUAAAGGACUGACACCCACCUUAAUACAAGUUCAAUUUUGAUUAGAAUAAAGAGACCUCCUAGUUUAUGGUAUUAGAAGUAAAACUAAACUGCCUUUGGAGGAGGAUAAUAUUAAGGUAUCUUUAACUUUUUCAUGUAUAAUAUGCAUCAUUCAUUAAAACAUAGCCCAGCAAUGAACAAUACAAGGGGGUCACUGGAAACUAAGAGGGGAAAAAAUAGAACCCCCUUUUUCUUAAAUAGACCAAUAGGAAAUC